AUUUAUUUCAGUUUCUAUCCACUGAUUCAAACACCACAGCAGCCAACAUCAAUUUACAGCAACUCACUCCUGGAGAAAUCAACUUAUUUUCAUAAGAGGUCAAGCGCGAGAGUAAGAACUACACAAGGAGUUAGAGUACCUUAGCAAAACUUUGCUAUCAGGUUGAGCUGUGAUGGGCGAUGAAGUGUUGCUGAGUGGAGUUUUUGUUGAACUUAAAGUAGGCUCAGAAAGGAUACAUGUCUUCAUACAUGUAUCUCAGUUAUGCAUUCCGCUGUAAACACUGAUUAUUUCAGUUACACCUUCCGUUGCAAACUCUGAUAAUGUUUUAGCCAAGCCCCUAACGAUGCCUUUUUCCUUUUAAGGAAUAUAACGCGUAUACAAGUUCUUUGAGUA